rnacentral:SRP_RNA from 1 species
GCCGGGCCUGGCAACGCGGGCUUGUCACCCAAGUGGGGGCAUUAAGAUGGUUGGAGGUUGGAUAGGUCCAGAAGGUUGGGCUUCGAAGGGAUUAAAAAUCUGACCCGCCCGUUCCAAGAGGAGAGUUGAGUUGCGUGCCCUCCAGCGUAGGCUUGGGGCUCGCCUCUCUUAGAGCGGAGGGGACCGCGUGAGGCUGGAAACAGAGCAACGAAAACCUCCCGCUCUCUUCAGUGGAAGGAUUACGGGCCGGUGCUCAUCAGGUCCAUUAACGCCUGAUGGACCCUCCACAAUUCAACAACCAUCUUU